rnacentral:rRNA from 1 species
CCUACGGGAAGCAGCAGUAGGGAAUCUUUCACAAUGGGCGAAAGCCUGAUGGAGCAACGCCGCGUGCAGGAUGAAGGCCUUCGGGUUGUAAACUGCUUUUAUAAGCGAGAAAUAUGAUGGUAACUUAUGAAUAAGGAUCGGCUAACUACGUGCCAGCAGCCGCGGUCAUACGUAGGAUCCGAGCAUUAUCCGGAGUGACUGGGUGUAAAGAGUUGCGUAGGUGGCAUAAUAAGUAGCUAGUGAAAUCUGGUGGCUCAACCAUUCAGACUAUUAGCUAAACUGUUAAGCUCGAGACCGUUAGGGGUAACUGGAAUUUCUAGUGUAGGAGUGAAAUCCGUAGAUAUUAGAAGGAACACCAAUAGCGUAGGCAGGUUGCUGGGACAGUUCUGACACUAAGGCACGAAAGCGUAGGGAGCAAACGGGAUUAGAUACCCGGGUAGUC